AAAACUUUUUACUCAUGCUUUUGAUAAAUGCUAUUUUUGGUUUGAAAAAUAAUUGAUAUAUUGCUGAAAUAAAUGAUUCAUAAAAGUAUUUCUGUUAAAAUCGACUCUUGAUGAAUGUAUCUUUUGGCCUGAAUAAUGGUCGUUAUAUUCGACUUUUGGUUGACUUGUUAUAUAUUAAUGUUUGAUAUUUUUUAAUAUGUUUUCUA
rnacentral:lncRNA from 1 species